CCUGAGUGUCUUGUCACCUGUCCGGUUCCUCCUUUCCCCCUCCCCAUGAUUACAUUCCUGAGGACAAAGAGGAGUUCACUGUUUCCUGCCCCCAGAGGGAAGGGCUGGUCACUGUCCUUUGUUUCAGUCUGUACUGAAUCCACUUCCAUAUGCAGGUGCUUUGUGAGUGUAAUGAUCUUCUGUCUAGGACCAUCAAGGUUGGCAUGCCAACUGGGUAGGGCUUGCUGCGAAUGUGUUGGUACACUUGGGGAUUAUGGCUGCCUUGUGUCUAGUCUCCCCCCUUUGAUAGUCCUUCCUUCAUGGUCUAAAAUAAAAGUUGAACGGUACAGAUCCGAUGUACUGCUGAUUUUCUAUGAAUUUAUAACAGAAGCAUUGCAUAUGUCGUGUGUGUGUGUGUGUGUGUGUGUGUGUGUGUGUGUGGUGUUUGUACAAACUGAAUGAUUGCCGGGGGGUGGGGUUCCUGCAACAGUUUCAAGUUGCAUUCCUGUUGUUGCUUCUUCCCAAUGAAUUUUACAGGGAAAGAUUCUGUUUUGGAAAUGGCUGUUAGAAUACCUCUAAAUACUGACAAUUUUGGUACUCAUGCCAAAAUUUAGAACUGUGAAUUCAUAAAUGAAAUACGCCAAUGUUCUCCUUCAUCUGGAAGCUUAUCUUCUUGAUAUUUACACAAUGUCUGUAUGCUUGGAAAUUUUUAAAACCACAUUGGCAUCAAUCCAUCUUUCUGCAACCACAUCCAUUUAGAUAAGAUCAGGUAUGACCAUUGUUUUAAAUUCUACUUAUAGAGUACAUGGAUGAAUUUUUAGCAAUUUCUAAUUUCCUCCUGCAGUCAGUGUCCCCUGAAAAUCUACACCGGAGGGCUAAAAGACUCCGUGGGUCAGACUUACUUUCACUGGAAAAGAAUGGCUACUCUUUCCCAGGUCCUCCUCAUUGAUUUCCUGUAUGUUAUUAUUUUUCUCUCUGUUGAAAUCAACCCCUUCUCCCAUCCGGCUAUGUUCAAAAAGCAGUUAUUUUCUUUAUGAAUCACUUGGAUCAUCCAUAUUCUGAACCACUUGUUGCAUAUGAUGGAAACUUAAGAAGAUGAUUUUAUAUGAGCGGGGCCUUCCAACUGUUGCAUCACUUGAAAUUUAAGGCCAAAGUGUGCGUACGGACUUAAAAGCAAGCAAUACCAAUGGCAAUCCUGUCUAGGGUUGCCAUAUUGUGAAGAGCAAAAAAGAGGACACAUUUGCCGACUUUUACUUUUAACUAUGAAUUGCUAUGACGGCUCUACCCAUGAAAAAGAGGACGUGUCCUGGAAAAAGAGGACAUAUGGCAACCCUACUAGAGUAAUAUAGCAUCAGGUUGACUUUAUCAUAGAAGGAACUAUUACACGUCAACCCAGGCUCCAAGCGGUGUGAAAUUAUACAACCUGUGGAGGGGUUCAAAGCAGGUUUCCUCUCUCUCUCAUGGCUACAAUGUUGGAUCAAAUAUUGCCGGGCCCCAUGGUGUUCUGACUCUGCUUCCCUGCAGCUUGUAAACUGCUUGCAAAAACACAACUAUUUCUCUCUCGCUUGCAUCAGCCCACUGCAAUUCUGAAACUCCUCCCUCCCAACUCUGCAUUGUCUUUUGCUAACUACCCAGAGCCCAGGGCAGAGCUCCACCCCUCUGUGUCCGGCAGAAAUCUUUGCCAGACCAUCACUCUGUCUUUUGAGCUCUUUUACUGGUGCGUCUCUUCAGGUAAUUACUUCACCAGGAAGCAAGCCUGGCUUUUAAAAACAAAAACAAAACAUGGUUUAUAUUUUAACAUGCUAAAUUCAAUGCCUGGCACCUCAGAAUUAGAAGGGGGGUGCAGGCACCCCACAAUCUUUUAACAGAACUAUAAGCAGAAGCAGAAAAUGAUUCAGUUAAGUUUCUAUCUCUUCCUGGUGUGUGUAAGUUUGCAACAGUCAAUAGCUUUUCCCAGAUACAACCAUAUGCCGUAAAUGGCUCAACAACGCUGGUUGUUUUUGCAGGCUGGCCUCUGCUUGUUAUGCUGGCAUACAAGAUAAUGUAUUUGUUCAGUAGGUCCAGUCAUCGUGCUAAAUAAAAUCGUUCACUUUGGUUAGCAAAUAUUGACUCAAGCUGUUACGCUUUUAUGUAUUUCAGAGACUCACAAUGUUUGAGAGCUCAGCAAGCAAACAAGAACAGGUACAGGAAGUUAUUGUGAUGUUUUGGACCAAUGUUUGCUUUUCUGCUGCUGAUGUAUGUUCUCCAUUGUGUGGGGCUUGUUACUAAUGACCUUGUUAUAUACUACGCUGCAGUUGAUAAGGCCAAAGGCUUCAGCAGAAUACAUUUUACAUUCCCACUUGAAGAGUUUAUGUUUAUUGUGUUUUGAAGGGCGCUGUGCCCACAGGCUUCUCCUUCCCUAUAACAUACUUUCUUGAAAUAAAAUCCUUCAAAGGAUGGACUCCCUUCUUGGAUGAGAAGUAAAGGGGCAAUUUUCUGUCUCAGCACAAGGAGCGGGUACCCAUCUAUCAUUGUAUGAGAAGAUCAUCAAAUGGUGAAUGGCAAGAACAGUGAAUUACUACUAUUUCUGAUAAUUUUUAGUUCCUUUCGAAGGUUGGGAUGAUGUAUUCCACACUGGGGGGAAAAGAUUCAGUGUGGAAAGAAGGUAUUCUGGGUGAAAAAAUGAGAGGGGGGACUUGGCCUGUGCCAGGCAUUUGGGCAUGGUUGAUCUGGAUCGGGUUUCCUUAUGCCAGAAAGCAUUGUAAGCACAUUCAGUCAAACAUGUAUAGUUCUUUAGAUUUCCUCACUCAACACUGGAAGGUUAGGAGCACAGGUAGCCUCCAUCACUCCAAACAUACAAAUUAAGAAUGCCUGGAGAGGGUUGUACUUUUAAGGGAGCAUGCACAGAGAAUGGUUACCUGUCUUUAGAAACCAGAAUUCCCAUAGUAUUAUUGAUUAUUAUUUACUGAAUUCAUAUUCUGCCCUUUCUCCCAAAGAAGCCCAGGGUGGUAACAUUCAUGGUUCCCUUGUGUAUCUGUGAAACUAUGCACUCAAAAUCCAAUAAUGUUUAUUAGACCAUUCCUGAAUAAUCACAUGCACUUUUGUCUUAUGACUAGAGGAGUUAUAAAGCUAAGUUGUUCAGUUUGCUAUCAUGAGCAUUGCAGCACAUAAUUGUUGAGAGUCAUGGUAUUUGUCCUCCUGUUCAAAUCUAUUCCGUAAUACAGGGGACUUGCUUCAGAGCCUGACAUAUUUCCUUUCCUUUUGAGGCUCUUCAAAAUAGUCGGAAGCAUGCUGCGCUGUAGGGCUGUAACAGGAAGCUGCUUAUUUAGAAAAGGCAUAAUAGGGAACGUUUGUUGAAACAAAAUGAAAUAAUUCUGUGACUCUCUAAAAACAACAUCAGUCAGCAUGCCAGGAAGAGCAUGGAUUGGAGGAACUGCUCUUGGAGAACAGCCACAAAUAUAUAUAUAUUUAUUUGAAGGUCAUAGAUAACCCAUAUUCAUAUAUGUUAGACCUGAUUGUGGGGAAUGAGCUUGUACUCAAGAGUUUUAUGAAUGCUGGGGAAAUGUUGUGCAUGUGUUUUGCAUUCAGUCAUAUUUCGGAUAUGGAAGGAACGCCACUUCUGCAGCAGAUGGGCUUUUCUGGGAACUGGGAAGGUGGGCUGUUUUGGAUGAGGUAGCACUUCCCCAACAGAACAGGUACAUAGUAAUUGACUCACAGUUUACACUAGAGCCCCAGGUGGCUUUGGUGUCAACAAUUGCCUAUUUCUAGCUACAGCUCUUCCUAGGCUUGCUUUCGAUUUUUGUAAUGCGCACUGUGUGUGACUACCCUCGAUAACGGUCUAGAAGCUGCAGCUAGCAUAAAAUGGGGCUACCAACAGCAAAAUGGGAUUGUGUAGUACUUACCUUGAAUAUUCUUGACAGGCUUUCUGGGCACUACCAGACUUAAUUCAAGAUGUUUCUUAGCAAUUGCUUAAAAAGGUAAAGGACCCCUGACAGUUAAGUCCAGUUGUAGAUGACUCUGGGGUUGCUGCGCUCAUCUUGCUUUACAGGUCAAGAGAGCCGGUGUUUGUCCGCAGACAGUUUUUCCAGGUUGUGGCCAGCAUGACUAAGCCACUUCUGGCGCAACGGAACACCGAAACCAGAGCAGCGCAUGGAAACGCCGUUUACCUUCCCGCUGGAGUGGUACCUAUUUAUCUACUUGCACUUUUUUGGCAUAUUUUCAAACUGCUAGGUUGGCAAGAACUGGGACCGAGCAACGGGAGCUCACCCUGUCAUGGGGAUUUGAACUGCCAACCUUCCGAUCAGCAAGCCCAAGAGGCUCAGUGGUUUAGACCACAGCGCCACCUGCGUCCCUAACCCAACCUAACCCACGCUAAUUCAGUGGUGAGUUUUCCAUCCUAAUUUGUAACCCUUCUUUCACCAUGGCUUGGGCACUCUGAUUAUAUUUAUUAAUAUAUAAAUAAACUAUACUCCAUCUGAAAGAUUCUAGGGAAUAUGGACAAUAAACAGAAGAACAAUAUAAAGUACACAGAAGCUAAAGGCAUAUGUGUGCUUAAAAAAACUUGGCAGUAAAUCAUUAAGACAGAAGUACAGACAUUGUUGGUGAGCUCACCAACCUAGCAGUUCGAAAGCACGCCAAAAAGUGCAAGUAGAUAAAUAGGUACCGCUCCGGUGAGAAGGUAAAUGGUGUUUCCAUGUGCUGCUCCAGUUUGCCAGAAGCAGCUUAGUCAUGCUGGCCACAUGACCUGGAAGCUGUCUGUGGACAAACGCCGGCUCCCUUGGCCUAUAGAGCGAGAUGAGCGCCACAACCCUAGAGUCGUUCGUGACUGGACUUAACUGUCAGGGGUCCUUUACCUUUACCUUUAUGAAAACAUAUGGCUUUCUCCAAAGAAUCUUGGGAACUGCACUUUGUUAAGGGUGCUGACAAUUGUAGCUCUGUGUGGGCUAAACUACAGUUCCUUGGAGUCUCAGGGACAAGCCAUGUGCUUUAAAUGUAUUGUGUGGACGUGACCCGUAAGUGACUGCUUUUCUUCUCCAAAUUAUGGUAUUUUGUUUUCCUUUCCGUCCUUCCAUAAAGCUUGCACACUUUAAAAUUCAGGAUAUCCUCCACAGACUUCAUACAAUGAUUCAUAGGUAUUGCUUUAAGAAUCAAUGUACUAUCAAAGACACUUUUUGUUUUGUGCCAUUGUUUGCUAUACAUGAGCAUAUUAGCUUCCCGGCCAGCAAUAACAGCCAGAAUGUGCUACAUUUUAUGAACUCGGCACUGUUCCUGCUGGAUCAUUUAGCUGCUUGAGAAUACUAAAUCCUUUACUUUCCCCUGGCUUUCAUCUCUUAUGGAGAAUAACUACAUUCUUCUGCAGCCCAGAAAGCUUCUGGCAUUGAAGCAGUGUUUUCAAAUUAUGUUCUAGGCAACUUUUAGAAGCUUAUUAAGGGUUCCUUAAAGAGAAGAUCAACAGCUGAGAACAAGCCUUUUUGAAUGUCUGUCACUGAUCUUUCCUUCCAAAUGUUGGAUGAGUUCUAGAUCCCACUUUCAGCUUACACAAGACAGCAGUGAGCUCCAACAGGCAGAUGUGUCAGGGUGGAAAGUUUUCCCUCCGGGCAGAAAACUUGGAAAACCACUUCAUUAAGGAGGAACGAAGAAGCGAAUAGAGGCCAAUAUAUAUACACUUUUAGAAGAACGAACUAUGCUGCUGAUGAAAUAAAUGCAAAGUUUUGUUGUGCAAUCCUCCAAAAAGAUUUCCUGGAAAAAAAUUAAUAGAAAAUGGCAGCCCACAAUACUUCAAUGAAAAACCAAAUAAACAUAACAAUCCCUACAGUUUUCAGCACUUCCAUUAUAAGUCACUAAGACUUUCCCCAGUUUUCUUUGUUGUUUCUUUCCUAUUGCGUCUUGGAGCCAAAACAUUUUUGGCUUUCAGGCUGAAGUCCAGGACUGUGCCAGUCAGCAGGAUAUGAGGCAGAUAAGAUUUGUUGAAAUGCUUUUGAACUAGUCAGAUUCUCUGGAUGGGAAAUGGAAGCGAAAUUAUUUACAUUUGGCACGAGAAGAAUAAGCUCCGUUUUUAAAUUAAAAGGAAAUCAGAUGGGUCAGAUGGCGUUGCAUGCCUGUUAAAAUCCACCAAGAGCCUGAUAAGAACCACUUUGCUGUAAUUUGUUUGACAGCCACUCUGCAACUUACAAAGAUGUGAGGCCCUUGGCCUGGAGGAGGAGUAUAUCAACAGGGUAACACUGCACAAUAGAGCUGUAAGUACUUUUCGGAGGGUACUGAAAUAAAUUAUUGAUGAAGAAAUAUGCCCCAUCCUUUUACAAAGUGUAGCAGGGAGUGGGCAUUCAUAUUAUAUGUUGGGUUCUAAGUUAUGAUCCCUAACAGCCAACUUGGUCACCCUGUACCUUCCAGCAGGAUGGCAAAAAAGAGCUAUGCAAUAAUUUUUAUUAUUGAUUAUUAUAUAUACACCACUUAAUGCCUAGCGGGUGACUAAGUGGUUUACAAUAUAUAUAUUUUAAAACUCUCAAUUGCACAACAUUAUUAAAAUACAUACUAAUUAAAAAUGCACUGUAAUUAUGAUAUGAUAUAAAACAACCCCAUUUAAAUUUUAAAUUACAAGUGUUCAUAAGUGAACUAUAACAUAACAGAAUCACAUUAAAAGAGAAGAGCAAUUAAAACAGGAGGCUCAGGUCAAGGGGAUCUCUGCAUCAAGGGGUCUCUUGUUGGUCUUCUGCUUGUUGUACCGAAGGGUUGCAAAAAUAUGAUUGUAUCCAGCAGUUGCAGAAGUGAGAGUCAGCUUGCCCAGCCAAUCUUCGCCCACUCUUCUCACUCUGCAGGACACACCCUCAGAAGCCUUUCCAGAGGGUCAUGUUGGUCCUGCAUCCUGAACAAUGCAGUGGGCUGCAGUGCAAGGAAGGAAUCUCCUGAAAUAGGACAGAAAGAUCUUCUGGAACGGCAGCAACCCUCCAGAGAGACUUUUCUGGGGGAUACAGAGGGAAGCAAGAGGGUGAACACGAAG
rnacentral:lncRNA from 1 species